rnacentral:tRNA from 1 species
GUCAAAUACGCUCAGUCGGUAGAGCAUGAGACUCUUAAUCUCAGGGUCGUGGGUUCGUGCCCCACGUUGGGCA